UGAACUCUAGGAGGUCGAAUCUCCCCUUGUUCCUCAGUAGCUCAGUGGUAGAGCGGUCGGCUGUUAACUGAC
rnacentral:tRNA from 3 species